rnacentral:rRNA from 1 species
UACGGGGGAGGCAAGCGUUGUUCGGAUUUACUGGGCGUAAAGGGCGCGUAGGCGGCGCAACAAGUCACUUGUGAAAUCUCCGGGCUUAACCCGGAGCGGUCAAGUGAUACUGUCGUGCUAGAGUGCGGAAGGGGCUACUGGAAUUCUCGGUGUAGCGGUGAAAUGCGUAGAUAUCUGGAGGAAUACCGGUGGCGAAGGCGGCAUCCUGGACCGACAUUGACGCUGAUGAGCGAAAGCUAGGGGAGCAAACGGG